GAUUUAAUCUUUAAAAGAAAAGCGUAUCCUUUUCUGGCCCUAUUUUGCUCAAUUUAUAAUUUCACUAAUUUGAA
rnacentral:tRNA from 1 species